rnacentral:rRNA from 1 species
GUGUCAGCCGCCGCGGUAAUACAGAGGUCCCAAGCGUUGUUCGGAUUCACUGGGCGUAAAGGGUGCGCAGGUGGUGGGAUAAGUUCGAUGUGAAAGCUUCGAGCUCAACUCGGAAAUGGCAUUGAAUACUGUCCUGCUUGAGGGUCGGAGGGGAGACUGGAAUUCUCGGUGUAGCAGUGAAAUGCGUAGAUAUCGAGAGGAACACCGGUGGCGAAGGCGAGUCUCUGGACGAUUCCUGACGCUGAGGCACGAAAGCUAGGGGAGCAAACAGGAUUAGAUACCCUGGUAGUCCUAGCUGUAAACGGUGCGCAUUUGCUGUGAGCGGAAUCGACCCCGUUCGUGGCGAAGCUAACGCGUUAAAUGCGCCGCCUGGGAAGUACGGUCGCAAGACUAAA